AUUGAACGCUGGCGGCAGGCUUAACACAUGCAAGUCGAGCGGAGAGAGGUAGCUUGCUACUGAUCUUAGCGGCGGACGGGUGAGUAAUGCUUAGGAAUCUGCCUAUUAGUGGGGGACAACAUUUCGAAAGGAAUGCUAAUACCGCAUACGUCCUACGGGAGAAAGCAGGGGAUCUUCGGACCUCUCGCUAAUAGAUGAGCCUAAGUCGGAUUAGCCAGUUGGUGGGGUAAAGGCCUACCAAGGCGACGAUCUGUAGCGGGUCUGAGAGGAUGAUCCGCCACACUGGGACUGAGACACGGCCCAGACUCCUACGGGAGGCAGCAGUGGGGAAUAUUGGACAAUGGGCGGAAGCCUGAUCCAGCCAUGCCGCGUGUGUGAAGAAGGCCUUAUGGUUGUAAAGCACUUUAAGCGAGGAGGAGGCUACUUUAGUUAAUACCUAGAGAUAGUGGACGUUACUCGCAGAAUAAGCACCGGCUAACUACGUGCCAGCCGCCGCCGUAA
rnacentral:rRNA from 1 species